UACGUAGGGUGCAAGCGUUAAUCGGAAUUACUGGGCGUAAAGCGUGCGCAGGCGGUCCGCUAAGACAGAUGUGAAAUCCCCGGGCUUAACCUGGGAACUGCAUUUGUGACUGCAUAGCUAGAGGACGGUAGAGGCGUGUGGAAUUCCGGGUGUAGUGGUGAAAUGCGUAGAGAUCCGGAGGAACACCAGUGGCGAAGGCGACACGCUGGGCCGUACCUGACACUGAGGCGCGAUAGCAUGGGGAGCAAACAGG
rnacentral:rRNA from 1 species